rnacentral:misc_RNA from 1 species
GAUGAAGAACGCAGCGAAAUGCGAUACGUAAUGUGAAUUGCAAAUUCAGUGAAUCAUCGAGUCUUUGAACGCACAUUGCGCCCCCUGGUAUUCCGGGGGGCAUGCCUGUCCGAGCGUCAUUGCUGCCCUCAAGCACGGCUUGUGUGUUGGGCCCCGUCCUCCGAUCCCGGGGGACGGGCCCGAAAGGCAGCGGCGGCACCGCGUCCGGUCCUCGAGCGUAUGGGGCUUUGUCACCCGCUCUGUAGGCCCGGCCGGCGCUUGCCGAUCAACCCAAAUUUUUAUCCAGGUUGACCUCGGAUAAGGUAGGGAUACCCGCUGAACUUAAGCAUAUCAAUAAGCGGAGGA